rnacentral:lncRNA from 1 species
CUGAAGCAAAAAUAUGAGAUGGUAGAGAGGAAGGAAACACUUGAGCCAGCCAGUCCACUGUUACCCUUCUAGCAAAGGCCUUAGAGGCGCUCAGAUCUUGUGAAUACUCUUCUCUUUCAAGGGCGGUGGGGGAGUUUGGGGUAGGAAACUAAAUAAAAAUUCAAAACAAACUGUGUAUAUAUAUACACACACACAUAUACAUACACACACAAGAAAAUAAAACAACAAAAUUUUUUAAAAAUCAAAGCCUCUCCAGAGCCACCUCAAAACAAAAUAGUUCUCUCCUGCUCAAGUGCAGGCAAUGAGCUAAUGGAACAAUUACUCUUCAAUUGAUUGUGUCUUUCUCUCCAUAUUUUUCUACUAUAGCUCCUACGCAGAGCGGAAGUAAAUAUUCUGGCUAUUGCCCCAUUUUGGAAGAGCUGGUGCCAACAUGGUUGACUCGCCUGCUAGCAGCAAGUGAAAACAACAGACCGCAUUGUAGUAGCCAAAUGCAGAGUUUCCAGUCAUCACUCUCACCUGGAAUCACUACAGGAGUCCCCAGUGGAGGUUUCACAGGACCUCAGGCCACACUGUGUUGCUCAUAACUCAACACAGUGUAUCUAACGCUUUGCUUCUUCUAUUGUUCCUGGAAUUUUUAAUCCAAAAACUCCCCAGAAAACCACUCACACUAGUCUGGCAAAGUCCAGUAUUUACAGUUCAGCCUGCUGUUGGUAAGUCACAAUUUCUCCAUUCUUUGAAGGCUUUGAGUUUUUGACUUUUAAGUAUCUAAUUAUUUUGUUUAAUGUUAAGA